ACUGAGUCUCAAGGAAAGGUCGUCUUGGAGUUUCUGAAGCAAUCUGAUUCACUGAAGCAAAAACAAGCUCUCGGUUAUAACAGAGGAUGUUCCUUUCCCAUGGAAGGAGAGAGAUUCACAAAGCACUGCACACCACAAGGCUUCCUGUAUCCUGGAGGUUUAAAAUAUGCAGGAGCAUCCUCUUCCUACUAGGUGACCAAUAUUCAUAUCUGAAAUCACGUUUUGGCCACAAAAGAGAAAUUAAUAACCCAUCACUCACCAUUUUCUAUGGUAAUUAAGGGGUUGCACUAAACUGAGCAUUGCGAAUUUUCCAUGUGCCAAUUUGCUGCCACUUUUUAGUACAGUAGCUGAGGAGUCCAGAAAUCAAAGAGAUGCUGCGACUUCAAACACGAAUACCUAGAGCUGUGCUGUUCUGAAUGAAAAUGGACACAGAAAUGAACGUUAACAUUUUUCACUAUAGACUCCUUCACACGGGCAUGUUUGAUGCCUUCCUCUACCGGGGCUGAAGCUGGAAUUAAGUAAUGAAUAAACAUGUCUCACCGAAACA
rnacentral:lncRNA from 1 species